rnacentral:rRNA from 1 species
UGGAGGGCAAGUCUGGUGCCAGCAGCCGCGGUAAUUCCAGCUCCAAUAACGUAUAUUAAAGUUGUUGUGGUUAAAAAGCUCGUAGUUGAACCUUGGGCCUGGCUGGCCGGUCCGCCUCACCGCGUGUACUGGUCCGGCCGGGCCUUUCCCUCUGUGGAACCCCAUGCCCUUCACUGGGUGUGGCGGGGAAACAGGACUUUUACUUUGAAAAAAUUAGAGUGCUCCAGGCAGGCCUAUGCUCGAAUACAUUAGCAUGGAAUAAUAGAAUAGGACGUGUGGUUCUAUUUUGUUGGUUUCUAGGACCGCCGUAAUGAUUAAUAGGGACAGUCGGGGGCAUCAGUAUUCAAUUGUCAGAGGUGAAAUUCUUGGAUUUAUUGAAGACUAACUACUGCGAAAGCAUUUGCCAAGGAUGUUUUCAUUAAUCAGGAACGAAAGUUAGGGGAUCGAAGACGAUCAGAUACCGUCGUAGUCUUAACCAUAAACUAUGCCGACUAGGGAUCGGACGAUGUUAUUUUUUGACUCGUUCGGCACCUUACGGGAAAC